UGCGUGAGGUCGAUGGUUCGAGUCCAUUUAGGCCCAUCCACGGCCGCACAGACCGGAGUAACAUGGGGAAUUAGCUCAGAUGGGAGAGCACCUGCUUUGCAAGCAGGGGGUCAGCGGUUCGAUCCCGCUAUUCUCCAUUGACACGCAAGUGUCAAACUUGGUUCUUUGAAAACUAGAUAAUAUUAAUUUUCUGUAAUAAUUUUUUGAAAUUGUAUUUAAUAUAAUUUCAACCGAGAACACCGCGUUAUUUUGAGUUUGUUAACUAGAAAAAAAUCCCAAAUCCUCAUUUAAUUUUGCUUCCUUUCUGGAGGUACAGGUAAAUUUAAAAAGGGCCCAGGGGGAAGGCCUGGGCCCUAAAACCCAAUAAAGGACGGAACUAACCCCAAUUUGCUUCGGGAACUUGUCCUUAACCUUUAAUCCGAAAAUUUCCAAAGGGGAAACCCCACCACCUUUAACCACUGGUUCCUAUUUAUGGAAUUCUUACUUUUUUAAAGUUAAACUGGGGAAACUAAACAAUUUCAUUCCCCCCAGAACCGAAAGAAAAUUUCAUUUCCUUAAUUAGCGCCAACCGACGGGGGAACAGCCCAAACCACGGAGCUUGCUCGUGGGGGUUUAGGGACUGAACAUUGAGGUUACAAAGUUUGUGAUAAUCAACAAUCUGGGAAGGUGGGCGAACCAGGGUGAUACCCCGUAGUGAAAUCAUGACCCUCAGUUCAGGAUCUGAAGUACGGCGACCCACGUGAAACGUCGUCGGAUUCGGGAGGACAUCUCCCAGGCUAAUACUCUCUAGUGACGAUAGUGAACAGUACGAGGGGGGGAAAGGA
rnacentral:misc_RNA from 1 species